rnacentral:ncRNA from 1 species
GCGAAGUUUUAUUCUUGCUUUUUCAUUCAGUUUUUGUUUGUUCUAUAUGUAAGCUUGUGCGUGAUUUUAUACUGUGAUUCUAAAUGGAUUUGCGUAUAUUAUGGUUGAUUCUCAUUAGUUGUUAUUGGUUGUUCAAGUAUUCUUGUAUUUAGCAAUAUAUUUUAGUCUCGGUUAAAUUUUGUGCCAGCAACCGCGGUUAUACCUUGGAGGCAUUUGAAUGUGUUUGGUGUUAGAUAGUUAUAUUAUUUAGUUUGAUUUGAUUUUAUUUUAUUUGUUGUUAGGUGAAAUUUUUAUUUUCUUUAAUUUUCUUGUUUUUAUUUGGAAGCUAUGAAAUUCUUUUUGUAGACUAGGAUUAGAUACCCUAUUAUUUUGGAAUGUUAAAUUGUUAUACUUGUGCCUGAGUAGUAUUAGUUAUGUUCUUGAAACUUAAAGAAUUUGGCGGUAUCUCAUUCCGUCCAGAGGAAUCUGUCUCGUUAUCGAUAGUCCACGUUGGACCUUACUUAGUUGCCUUAAGGUUUGUAUACCGCCGUUUAUUGAUUAUCUUUUUAGGGUUUAUUAAUUUUCUAGUUUCUUUACUUUGAGUUAUUUCAGGUCAAGGUGCAGCUUGUUUCUAAGUGAAUGAUGGAUUACAUUGUUAUUUGUUGUUUUGGAUUAUUGGUUUUAAUAUCGGUAUGAAAUUGGAUUUGGUUGUAAUGAUUUGUAGAUUAUUAUUAUGAUAAAGGUUCUGGGAUAUGCACACAUCGCCCGUCGCUCUCGUUUAUUAUUAAUGAGAUAAGUCGUAACAAAGUGGUUGUACCGGAAGGUGCGGCUGGAUUGUG